UGGGUGCUGAUGCCUGCCUGGAAGACCUCACACCCACAGUGUCUUAGAAGAUUCUGAAAGCAGUGUGAGACCAGAAUGACCAGCAAAGGAGAAAAGAACAAGGACGCAUUGCAGCCAAAAUGGAGCUAGAAUCUUGCCUCUGUCCAUCCUUCACUGGAGUUAUCCUGGAUGGAGAAGGAACCAUAUCACCUGCAAAGCCUGGAAGGGGAGCCCUGCUGUGAGGUCUUUCUCAGGUGAGGCCCCAGGCUGUGACCAGGCCCCUGCCCUGCAUGUGACUCAGGCCUAGCCCCUGCUGGGGCAGGAAUGCCACCCAGCACAGCAUCCUACUGGUGCCUGAAUAAAGAAUGGACUGGAGGUUCACCUGAAAGGGGCUGCCAGGUUUCUGCGGGGGCCAGCCAACGGCUCAUAAUGACCCUGUGUUCAACUCAUCUUACGAUGAAAUUUUUCAGCUUGACGAACUUUUACUCAUCUUUCAAGGCUCGGCUCAAAUGUUAUUUCCCUGGGAAAACUGCGCUACUUUCAGCAAAAUGCAUUUCCUUUUGA
rnacentral:lncRNA from 1 species